UACGUAGGUGGCAAGCGUUUGUCCGGAUUUACUGGGCGUAAAGAGCGCGCAGGCGGUCGUUCAAGUCGCGUGUGAAAGCCCCCGGCUCAACUGGGGAGGGUCACGCGAUACUGAUCGACUCGAAGGCAGGAGAGGGUAGUGGAAUCCCGGUGUAGUGGUGAAAUGCGUAGAUAUCGGGAGGAACACCAGUGGCGAAGGCGACUACCUGGCCUGUUCUUGACGCUGAGGCGCGAAAGCUAGGGGAGCAACGGGAUUAA
rnacentral:rRNA from 1 species